rnacentral:rRNA from 1 species
GUAGGUGGCAAGCGUUGUCCGGAAUUAUUGGGCGUAAAGCGCGCGCAGGCGGUUCUUUAAGUCUGAUGUGAAAGCCCACGGGCUCAACCGUGGAGGGUCAUUGGAAACUGGAGAACUUGAGUACAGGAGAGGAAAGCGGAAUUCCACGUGUAGCGGUGAAAUGCGUAGAGAUGUGGAGGAACACCAGUGGCGAAGGCGGCUUUCUGGUCUGUAACUGACGCUGAGGCGCGAAAGCGUGGGGAGCAAACAGGAUUAGAUACCCUGGUAGUCCACGCCGUAAACGAUGAGUGCUAAGUGUUAGGGGGUUUCCGCCCCUUAGUGCUGCAGUUAACGCAUUAAGCACUCCGCCUGGGGAGUACGGCCGCAAAGGCUG